rnacentral:tRNA from 1 species
GGGGAUUUAGCUCAGUGGUAGAGCACUUGCUUAGCAAGUGCAAUGCCCUGGCUUCAGUCCCCA